AUCCUCUGCUUUGGCAGUAUCGUAGCCAAUGAGGUCAAUCCGAGGCGUGAUUAUUGCUAGUUGAAAACUUUUUCUCAACUGC
rnacentral:snRNA from 1 species